CCGGGGCCUGCCAGAACGCACACUUCACAUUCAGUCCUGCAAUACUCUGUUUAGAUCACUAACUCCUUUGGCAGAGAAUUGGAGGCUCUUUCAUUUGUUUCUUUCCCCUUUUACUUCAAAGGCAGUCGUUCAGUCUCUUCAGAUACGAGUCCUGUUGUCCCUCAGACCUCCUCCCAUUCUGUCCCUGGGGACUUAGGUUUAACAUAGAGAACGAAGGCCUUUAAAACAAGCCACUUUCUGCAUUUUGCUAGCUGGAGCUCUCUUUUUCUGCCUCUUCAGAUGUUUUGUCAAGAGUUUAUUCCGUUCGUAAUUGGAAUAUAAAUUCAGCUUAUCGUUGGAAGGGAGAUUUGGGCUCUUAACACCAGACCAAGCAAUUUCAAGGAGCGGAACACUUCGUGGACAUCUAGGUCACCGGGCCUUCCUGCACACGAGGCCAUCGAGACUGGAGGGUGUUUAAAGGUUUAGUCCUGGCCGCCCACGGCUCAGCCUUCCCCCUGGAGUGAGCGUAUGACUCACACGCUCCGCCACGUGUGGCCGGAGGCCCCACUCCAGUUCCCAGACUGCAGGUACUCCAGUCCUGAUUCAGAAACAAUGCAUGAGCUAAACUGGGGCCAAACGUGGUAUGCUGGAUUCUUAAUGGAACUUUCUGGGCCACCUGGCAGCUUGCUUUACCGAUGGAUGGGGCUAAAGGUCUUGUCGUUUCUCGGAGGCGAUGGGGAAAGAUUGAGAGUCCUGGAGCCCAUUGGUACACAGCCCCAGGCCAUCCAUUCUGUGCCAAUCAGCGCCACCCAGACGCAGUUUCUCUCAAGGGACCUUGCUCGGAAGGGCUUAUGCCUUUGCUUUCCCUCGUUCAAGGCCUGUUCAUAUGGACAGCACAGAUGCCAUUUCGAGCAGUGGUCCUGGAGUCUGUCACCCCAAACCAAAGCGAAAUGGAGCAUUUCUCACGACCUGGUAUUGAAGUUCCUUCGUGUUCUGCAAAGCUGUGUAUGGGACUGUAUUAUCUUGUAUCCCUUAGUCCUGUAAGGUAUGUUAAGUGAACCACAGUGACACUGUACUUGUAUUACUAUUUACCAGAAUUAAAUGGGGACCCCUACGACUGAGGCUCUCCUCGCUGUCAGAAGCCCUUGUGGCGGGUUCUCUCCACAGUG